UACGUAGGGGGCAAGCGUUGUCCGGAAUCAUUGGGCGUAAAGCGCGUGUAGGCGGUUCGGUAAGUCUGCUGUGAAAGUCCAGGGCUCAACCCUGGGAUGCCGGUGGAUACUGUCGGACUAGAGGUAGGUAGGGGAGAAUGGAAUUCCCGGUGUAGCGGUGAAAUGCGCAGAUAUCGGGAGGAACACCGGUGGCGAAGGCGGUUCUCUGGGCCUUACCUGACGCUGAGGAGCGAAAGCGUGGGGAGCGAACAGG
rnacentral:rRNA from 1 species